ensembl:lncRNA
UGUUUAGGUAAGAACUGGAGCACGUUCAGUCACAACGGUGGUGGCUUUUGGCCGAGGGCAGGCUGGGCCUUCCUCGGGCCCUGCACAUCUCCUUUCAGGCGCGGGCAGCCGGCCCCUGACUCCAGUGGGAUCCGGGGCGCGCGGGCGCCGCCAUCCGGGCGCAACCUCGCGCCCGCGGUCCCGCUGCCUCUCCCGGUCUUGGUGCUGGGGGCCGGGGGAGGGAGGCCCAGGCGAGCGGCCGCCGGCGGCGGGAGGGGGCCAGCGGAGCCCGCGCGGUACGGCAGCUUCAGGUUUCCUCCUGGAGCCCGUGUCGGGCGCGGCGGCGGGCAGGCCGGGCCAUGUGAUGCCGGAUCCAGCGGCAGCCGGCAGGCGCGGAGAGAGCGGGGCGUCCUCAGCGGCGGGCGCAGCCAGCCCGGCCCCGGAGCGCGGCUUCGGCUCCGCCCCCUCGCGCCGGCCGGGCCGCGCCGCAGCCGCCGGGCGUGGGCCGCUUGGGGAGAGCCUCCCAGGCUCGGGCGGCGCGUUCCGGGCGCCCGCGGGCUGGGCGCGGGGGCAGCGCCUCGCUCGGGCGCCGGAGGCUGUAGGGCUGCAGCUCCGGGUAAGUGCUCUUUGGGGGCUCCAUCCUCGCGUCCCCUGGCCCCUCGCGGCGGAAAAGUUUGUCCGCCUCACCUGAGUUCGCCGUCGCGGAGCUACUUUCUCCAGGGUCCAGGGUCUCCAGGGGGUGGGAGGAGGUGCUGCCGCGGGCUCAGCGGCGCGAAGGAUGGCCGCCGCCUCCCGGCCCCUCGGGGACUGCAACAAGUGCAGAGGCGGCGCGGCGGCGGAGCGCGGGGUUCCCCGGCCGCGCGGCCCCUCUCGCCCUCUGCCGGCCCCGCUCCGGGGACCGGGGAUGGGUGGGUGGAAGCUGGGUCUCUGUCGUUCGGGUGCCGGGGAAAUCAGCGGUCUUCCUGCGGUGGAGAAGGGAGAGCCUCGAAAGCUGGGAUCGCCCCUCCCAUCAAUGCCUGGCUCCGGGGUGAGGGGUUCGCGGCGGGUCCCCGGAGAGCAGCAGAGCGAGUGAAAUUCCGCUCAGGACAUAAGCGCCAACGUUUCUUUAGCGUGGAAACAUAA